GAACGCGAAGAACCUUACCAGGUCUUGACAUCCUGCGCUACACCUAGAGAUAGGUGGUUCCCUUCGGGGACGCAGAGACAGGUGGUGCAUGGCUGUCGUCAGCUCGUGUCGUGAGAUGUCGGGUUAAGUCCCGCAACGAGCGCAACCCUUGUCUUUAGUUGCCAUCAUUAAGUUGGGCACUCUAAAGAGACUGCCGGUGACAAACCGGAGGAAGGUGGGGAUGACGUCAAAUCAGCACGGCCCUUACGUCCGGGGCUACACACGUGUUACAAUGGGGGGUACAGAAGGUCGCUACCUGGUGACAGGAUGCUAAUCUCCAAAACCUCUCUCAGUUCGGAUUGGAGUCUGCAACCCGACUCCAUGAAGCUGGAUUCGCUAGUAAUCGCGCAUCAGCAUGGCGCGGUGAAUACGUUCCCGGGUCUUGUACACACC
rnacentral:rRNA from 1 species